UUUAAAAUUAUAAAGAUUUUUCUUUAAAUAACAAAAAUCAUAUUAUCUAACAAUGGCUAAUUUUUACUACUUUAAACUAAUGAAAACAAAUUUUAAACUAUAUAGUUUAUUUUAAAAAUUAAAUGUUUAAUUAUUUACUUUAUAAUAUAAAUCUAUGAAGCGGAAAGUUUAAUUUUUAAAAAACUUUCUAAAUUUGUGAAAUGUUAAAUGAAAACGAAAACAUGCGCGGUUACGCGGAUCUCGAGAUCUAGUUAUGUAUUAAAUUGUUAUAUAUACUUUUAUAGUUUCAUUAACGUAUUUUUAGUUCAAAAAAAAAAAAAAAAAAAAAAAAAAAACGUAUUUGAAAACAAGAAAAGAACUCAUUAAAUCACUGACGCCGAGGAAUUGUAACAUUUUUUAACCACUAGGUAAAGUGGAAUCUCGGUCGGAUCCUGACUGUUGAUUUGGCGCCACGUUAAUAGUUCGUUAGCCUUCGCGCCUUUGACUCUUCCUUGCGAGUUGCGACCCUUUUCAUGUAGCUUUUUUCCCUUUUUAUUAACUCUUUCUAUUUGCUUUAAACCUUUUUUGUUUCUU
rnacentral:lncRNA from 1 species